rnacentral:rRNA from 1 species
UACAGAGGGUGCAAGCGUUAUUCGGAAUUACUGGGCGUAAAGCGUGCGUAGACGGUCAUGUAAGUCGGGUGUGAAAGCCCCGGGCUCAACCUGGGAAUUGCAUUCGAGACUGCAUAGCUAGGGUUCGGAAGAGGGAAGCGGAAUUUCCGGUGUAGCGGUGAAAUGCGUAGAUAUCGGAAGGAACAUCAGUGGCGAAAGCGGCUUCCUGGUCCAGCACCGACGUUCAGGCACGAAAGCGUGGGGAGCAAACAGG